GUGUCAGCAGCCGCGGUAAUACGAAGGGUGCAAGCGUUAAUCGGAAUUACUGGGCGUAAAGGGUGCGUAGGCGGUUUGUUAAGUCUGUUGUGAAAUCCCCGGGCUCAACCUGGGAAUGGCAAUGGAAACUGGCAGGCUAGAGUGUGUCAGAGGAUGGUGGAAUUCCCGGUGUAGCGGUGAAAUGCGUAGAGAUCGGGAGGAACAUCAGUGGCGAAGGCGGCCAUCUGGGACAACACUGACGCUGAAGCACGAAAGCGUGGGGAGCAAACAGGAUUAGAAACCCUCGUAGUCC
rnacentral:rRNA from 1 species